GCUUCUGUUCGACACAGUCCUAAGCCUUCUCGAAUCACACCUGAGCUCUUCUCUACGACUUCUGAAAACUCUCAAACCUCAAACCAACCAAAACGAAAUGUUCUCCUUAUAUUCUUCCUUCUCCCUUCUAUCUCUUCUCCCUCACUCUUCUCUCCACGACUCGCUGGAUACACAGUUGCGCCCAGCGAUGAUUUCAACGAUUCCAUUGUUCUGAAACGGCUCCUCAUCACCUCAGGUCAUAGGCCACGAAGCUUCGAACUCAGGGCAGUACCCUGUGGUGGUGAGCACAUGGCCCUUCGUAAAGGCUGUCAGAGCAUCCUGGCGGGCUGUGGAUAAUGGAUUCUCCAUCGUGGAUUCCGUCGUUGAGGGUUGCUGGACUUGCGAGGAACUUAGAUGUGAUGGUAAAAGUAGAGUUGGGCCUGGUGGGAGUUCAGAUGAGAAUGGAGAAACUACUUCGAUGCUUGGUCAUGGAUGGAGUGAGUAGUAUUCGCGUCACACAUGUGAUCAACAAGAAGCAGGGACACCUACUGCAGCUGGGCACAUCUUAUGAGACUAAGAAUGAAUGAUGACUGCUCCUUUCACUUCCAGCUGAUCCCUUACUUAAUGAUCGUGAGUUUGAAAAUCUUUGGCAAUGAUUUCAAAACAAAGAAUAUUUUUGUUGUUCGUAUUCCAUCCAUAGUUAAUGAAGGUUUGUUGUAAUUUUUUUUUUCCUCUGUUGGAUGUGUUCCAAUGCUAUGUUUUCCAUUGCACAACUGAUGAAUUGUUCUCUUAUCACUCAAAUUUUCAAUUUGAAUAUCAGAUGGGUUGGAAAGCUUCUUCACAAUUUAAUAAAUAUAUUAAUUUUUUAUGACACAAUCUUUCAUAUCUUUCAAACAUAAUUUUCCAUACAAUUUUCAAUCCAGCAGCGUCCGGGUUGAAGUUUCUAGUACAAACUAUUAGUCAUGCAUUAAGAACAAUACUCAUGGGCCAUUUUAAACAUGAAGUUAUUCGUCCUCUGUUUGCUCCUCGUCGGCAUGGUAGUGCUAAACUCCAAAGUCAACGCUGAAAGGAACCGCAUUCACCCCGGAAUCCUCGACACAUGCAAAAGACCAGGAGGGCCACAUCCUGUUGUAACGGUGACGUCAAAAGUCCAACUCAACCCGCGAACCCCUAUAACUGCGGUUGCUCAAAGAUUUAUCGGUGUCGCGGUGGUCAUGAUAAGGUUCAUACUCACAAGGGUUAAUGACGAUAAAGAAGCUGAGUUAGGUGGAUGAAGAUUGUGGGA